GGCCGUUUUGUAGCUUGUUACUAGAAUGCUGUAGAAGUCAGGACUUGUAAUGUAGAUAAGAAAUAAUAAACAUCUGAGUCUGAACACAGAACACCGUCUGGGGCGCCUCAACCCUGGCCUUGGCAGAGCAGACACAAAGCCAAGAGCCAGCAGUGAGGGGUGCCCUGGUGUGGGGACACCUCUGGAGAAACAGCAGCUGAGAGCUGGAAAAUCCCCAGGGAAAAGAAAGAAGAAAAAAGGAAGAAAAAAGAAUUUGGACAUCCCUAGACGCUGGUGAAGUGGUUUGGAGCAGAACGUGGAUGCUGCAGACCCAUGAGGAACCGAGGAGGAGAAACGGACAGCGAAAAGUCAGGAGAGUGAACAUGUUUUUCACAAGAGGAAGGAGUGAAUACAGCCUCGAAACUUAAAGAAAGAACAUCUUUGCAGGACACAAACCCGCAAAUAUAAACAGAUUUUGUCCCAUUUCCUUAGAUUCCAGAAGCCAUUUCAAAUAAUAAUACAAAAGAUCCAUCAAGAGACAUAGCAAAUUCUACCAACUGGGCAGAGAUUAGAAGAAAAACAUUAAAGGAAGGACAUUUUGACAUGGCAUCAACAAAAUCAAAGACAACAAAACAUGGCAGACAAAAAAAGAACCACGGUGGACACAAGAAUAAUUCGUUAUUGGUAGAGAGUAGAAAUAAAAUACGUUCUAAGGGUUAAUUGGACAAAAUAGUUUUAAAAUAUCUUGAACCUGUGUGUUUUGUGACUUUUUUGGUGCCUUCUCUUUGUAGGCUAAGUCUGGUAUGUAGACAGCAUGCUGAACUGUUGAUAAAAGAAAAAUAAACAGCCUGAAGACCAAAGAAACCAAAA